CCAGUGAGGGAAUUAAGGACGGCACGUUGUCCUUGUAACGGGGAUCCAGCAGGCUGGCAACCCAGUAAUCAGCACAAGUUAGAAUGUGGGCAACUCGGCAGUCGUUGCGCAGGCACUUUGGUGACUCUAGAUAACCUCCCGCCGAUCGCACGUCCCCGUGACGGCGACGACACAUUCAGAUGUCUGCCCUAUCAACUUUCGAUGGUACUUUCUGCGCCUACCUCGGUGACCACGAGUAACAGGGAAUCAGGGUUCGAUUCCG